AUGUCGAAUGCGUGGGUUGGGCAAGGAAUAAGUAAGAGGGAAAAAAAGAAAGAAAGGAAAAGUUGUGGAGCGAAACCCUCACACCGCACGUCCUCCACCUCCCUUCGCCUCCAGCGCCCCUCUUCCCUCUCCAGCGCCGCCACAGCCGCCUGGGCGACGCUCCCACCCACCACCUAUGGUUGAGGUCGGCGAAGCGGCCCAUCGCGCGGCGCCUGGGGACGUCGCCUCCCUCCGCCGCCAGCAGCGGCGACUGGCUAACAUGCGGUCGUCGCCGCCAAAACCGGAUGGCGUGCUGUCCGGCGAGGGGCCCGACCUGCUGCGCGGCAUCGCCUCCUCCACAUCCGCCAGCGGAUCGAGAUCCACGACCUCCAUCCCGACCUGCCUUUCCCUCCUCUCGCUUGUCAGAAAGGAGUGCAGGCCGCUGUUGCCCCACACGAGGUCAUCCUCCUCUUUGGUUUUGCUGAUUCCGAUGGCGUUGGCUCGACCUACAGUUUAUACCGGAACUUAAUCUGAAGGUCAGGACUUCAUGCCCUUUUCUCUUGAGCUGAAACGCAUGCAAGCAUGGCUGUUGACCGAGCCCCCUAAUUCAACUAUUCAGGUACAGAUUGAUUGGGUCAUGUCUGUAGUUUUUUUCAGUGCUGCAGGUUCAUGUUCUUGGGGAAAAAAUCGUUGUCUAUUUCCUAUAUUGGUGAUGCGGGUGAACUGAUUUGGGUAUUAUAAUGAGCUUUUCUCUUUGGUAAUUUCAUCAUCCACGAAAAUGUCGAUGUUAAAGCAUUUGGUCAUGAUGGAUCAUUUUACUGGUUCUCAGUUCAACUCAAGAUGGCUCAGAUAGGACCAAGUUUGAAUAUUCAUGUGUUGGAUAGGGGUUGGGGUUGGUCUCCUGCACAAGAGGUGCAAAUUGGAGCAGAAGAUUCGUCUAUGAUGCAGCAGCUCAAAGCUGAAGAUUUCGAAGGAUGUCAUAUCUGAGCAGAUAGCUGAUCUGAUUGGGGAUGCGGGUAGUACGGUUGUUGUUAUAAAGUCUAAAAGCUACAUGGGAAGAUCUCAGCAAAUACUUUAAGCCGCAAAGUAUCAAAGGGGAUUUCACCCUCUUGCCAUGCGCUGAGCCGCGGUGGGAGAAAGUGGGUGGCAGCGAGCCGGUGGAUUGGUCAUUGGAUAAACUGCUUGUUGUAUUUCACAAUGAGGACAUUUGUUUGGGGGGUGUAUCCUAGAGUUAAGGAUGCUUGGAUGGAAGUGGUGGCCUCACAAAGGCAAGAUCGAAAUGCACAAAUACCUGCUCAGGUAUUUUCCAGUUAUUUUAACUUCUUGCAAUAUGUUGGCUGACACUUACUCGAUUCAGAUACAGUAUGUUGGCUGAAUCUUACUCCGUUCACAUAUCUCUCUUCUUUGGCUCUUUGUUUUGGCUCGGAUAUGUCUUUGCAAAAGAAUUUUUUGCCACCAAUUAAUUUGCAAGGGCACAUACUAUUUGUAGCAGCGUACAAAAACUCAAUUCACCUCAUGCUUUUGUAGAAAUGGAUUGUCGCACGAAGUUGUCUCAGUUAGUAGACUAUAUUUGUUAACGUAUAGUUACUUUUUGUGAGAAGUAAUCAUAUAGUUUUUUGAUGGCAGUAUACUUAUAUAAUAUUCUUAUUGUUGAGGUACUAAAAACAUUUUGGUUAAUUAUUACUUAGUGUGACACUUCAGUAAGUCUUUUGAGUAGGCAAAAUCUCUCAAUUUAUAUUGCCAUAAUAGGCGAUGUCUCAUUCAUGGCAUCAAAUACAGCUUAUUUUAGAAUGGUACAUAUGUAAUGUUUGGCUUCCUUAUAUCAUGUAUGCUUUCCGUUUGCUGUAAACUAAUAGUUAGGUUGUAGUGUUUUCAUUCGCUCUUGGAAGUCAUAUCACAAGCACAUCCGUAGCUAUUGGCCUUGAACAUUUCACCUUCCAGGUAACUCGGAUGCUCACUACCACUCAGAAUCAGUGACUUGCCUUCUUACUAUGAUUUUUUUAGAAAACCUUCUUGCACUUGAUAAUGCGUCUUUUUAUGACACAUACGACUGUUUCUCCAGCACUGAUUUCCAAGCAACAAAAGUUGUGCCAAUGUAUGAUAAAUUUAUAUUUCUAGCCUACUCUCAUGUUAAUGUUGCUGUUUAUACAACUUAAUUAACAUGGGUCAUCGUCAUGUGUAAAUCUUCUGCUUUGAAUUCCCAUUUUGAUUUUCCACAAACUAUUUCUUUCCGGUAAAUUUAUAUUUCUUAUUGUAUUUACUAAAUGUCAAUUUGGAUAACCAUGCAUCAUACAAUUCAGAUUUUAGUUGCAGUCACUCUCCUCAUCAACGCUCAACAAUGGCCUCUUCUUCCGGUGCCCGAAGCAGCCGCAUACCCAUAUGCCUCGUGCUGAUUCUCCUGAUCGCCUGUGAGAAGUCAGCCAUCAUGCCGGUCGGCCAGCAAUGUGAAGGACCAGAUGAUCGACUAUUGAUUUAUUGCAGUACGAUGUUGCCUCUUCAGUACAUCUGUGUUAGCUCUUUCUGUUACUAUCCAUUCUGUCAGCUCUAUUUGACAGGAAAAAGCCACUGAAGUUAGCGUUGCGUGCCUGAAAGUCUACAAGUAGUAGUCUGACAAGAGGGCGUUUUGAAAGAUGUUUGCUUGUUGUAGCUAUACCAGUUAUACCUCUACGUAUGUUGAAAAUUCAGGUGAUGACCAAUCAAAAGGCUGUUGAUGAGAUCAAUGACACCAGAGGGGCGGACAGGCAGCUGCGAAGCAUCUGACGGAGCAACUGGUGAAUAGGAGGAGCGAAGACAACAUCUCUUGCGUCGCUGUAAACGUCCGCUGCUAUGAGAGCUUCAGUCAGUGAAUAGGAGGAGCAAAGACAACAACUGCUUCGUCAUCGUAAACUUCCACUCUUGGCCGAGCUUCAACCUGCUAGCCCCUUAUGCGUACAAUUAGUUAUAUGCCAGAUUGGUUUUACAAUUUUUUCUGUAGUUGUUCAUACGAUGAAAGAGUUUAAUAUGGUUGGGGAUAACCCACCACCCAAUGGGAUCAAGGUCUCUAAAAUAUUGUUGUUUGUUUGGUUAUCAGGUGUAAAUUCUAUUGCAAGUUCCUUAUAUGUGC